rnacentral:rRNA from 1 species
UGUGUAGGCGGUUCUUUAAGUUUGCUGUGAAAUCUCCCGGCUUAACCGGGAGGGUGCGGUGAAUACUGAGGGACUAGAGUACGGGAGAGGAAAGUGGAAUUCCUGGUGUAGCGGUGAAAUGCGUAGAUAUCAGGAGGAACACCGGUGGUGUAGACGGCUUUCUGGACCGACACUGACGCUGAGACACGAAAGCGUGGGUAGCAAACA